AUCCACCCCCCCUUCCCAGACCUCAUUUAAGGGUUGGUAGUAGUGGUGAGGAUCUCUUGGUGGGGAUUCUUGUCUGCUGGAGGCAUUGUGGAGGGAAGAAUCAGUGUAAGGAGGAGCGAGAUCCAGUAUUAUAAACUUGCUGAGAAAAUUGAAGCUGUGAGUUUCAAGCUUUAUCUAUUCCUGGAGUGACAGGGGACUCAGUGCAUCUGUAUAGUAGGAGAUUAGUGACAGCACUGUCAUCUGAUUAACUGAUUUAAAGGAGCAUUGGUUUGAUGUUGCAGUUGAGGUAUUUGGUACGAGUCUUCAGCAGUUACUUCUGAUGCCCCUGAUCGAAAGAGUACAGAACCCAUCUUUGUGGAAAGUCUACCAAAUAAAGUGUCAAAUGGAUGCCAAACCCAGCACUUUGCUGUUAAUGCCAGCUAUCCUGCUAAUGACACCUACUCAAAACCAGAUGCCAAUGGGAAGAAGCACAUGUACCUGGCUCGAGUCCUUGUUGGACAGUAUUCCCAGGGGACACAAGGAGCAAUUACUCCAGCAGUAAAGAGUGUUGGCAACAGUGUGGAUCUGUUUGACAGUUCAACUGAUAAUGUGAACAAUCCAUCCAUGUUUAUUGUUUUUAAUGAUAUUCAAGCUUACCCGGAGUACCUCAUCACUUUCACUAGAUGAGCAUUUUGAUUGCAGCCAUGAUUGCAUGUCUCUUAGCUUUUAUGUUAUAAAUCAGUCCUACAGAUCAACCAAAUAUGCAGUGAGAACUAUUUAUAGUUUUAUCAAAUUAAUUUCUAAAGGCCUGUUUAUGUUCAAGCAGCCUCUGGUUCUUUUUGAUGUCCUGAGCAUAGGCUAAUGUUUUUCCUCUCAGAGUAAUAGCUGAAUGCAUUUAAGACAAGUUUAAUCUGGCAUGUAGUCUAACAGCAGUUUCCAGUAGACAUCCCACGCCUCCCCAUCGUGAUCCUCCAUGCUGUGUUCUGGCCAUCCUAGCUGCAGCAGUGCUGGUGGGGGAGAGUGAGAGACUGAGUGCUUGGUCUCACAUUUCUGAAAGUGAGGAGCUGUCAUCAAUUAUGAUGCAGACUGUCAUUCACAGUUCUCAAUAAAUGAACUAUCUGUACUUAA